GAUAUAUUACCUCUGUCCCAAAUUUCUUGUCUUAGAUUUUUUUAGAUAUGGAUGUAUCUAACACUAAAAAUGUGUCUAGAUACAUCCUUAUCUAAACAAAUUCAAGACAAGUAAUUCGGAAACAAAGGAAGUAUCUA
rfam:Triticum aestivum genome assembly, contig: Triticum_aestivum_CS42_TGACv1_scaffold_578353_7BL